rnacentral:rRNA from 1 species
GGUGAACGCUGGCGGCGUGCCUAACACAUGCAAGUCGAACGGAAGCAUAUUAAGGAUUUCCUUCGACGGUGAGCGAUUUGUGGAUGGGUGGCGGAUAGGUCAGUAACGAGUGGUUCGUGUGGCAUGUCGAAGGGAAACACAGGCUAAAACGGCAUAUGAUACACGGUUGAAAGCAGGGAUUGUUUGGUGCUUUGGCGAUAGAAUGAGCGGAUUUCGGAGGACCUAGUUGGCGUGGUAAAGGCCCACCAAGGCUACGAUGCGUAGCUGGUCUGAAAGGAUGAUCCGCCACACUGGAACUGAGACACGGUCCCGACUCCUACGGGAGGCAGCAGUGGGGAAUCUUGGGCGAUGGGCGAGAGCCUGAUCCAGCACUACCGCGUGAGUGAAGAAGGCCUUCGGCUUGUAAAGCCCUUUUGUUGGGAAAGAAAAAAAGCAGGAUCAUCACCGGAUGUUCUGACGGUACCUAACUAAUAAGCACCGGCUAACUACGUG